UCAGGGAAGAAAGUGGCGUAUGAAUGGAAAUAUGAAGGACAAGAAAAUGCCAGCCAUGAUAAAAACUAGGUGGAAAAAAUUCCAGGCAAAAUGUACCAAAGUCCUGUGGUAGAUAAAACAGCUCAAUGAGUUGAAGAGAAUGAGAAAAGUCAAAGGUUUCUGCAAAGCACAAACCAUCAUAAGCAAAGUUAAAGACAGAAUAACUUGGGGAAAAUGUACAUACUAAUUUCGCUAAUACAUAAUAAAUUUCUACAACCAAUUAAAAAAUUAACAGGAAAAUUAAAAUAAGAACAAGUAGGUCACAGAAAAGGCUUUACAAAUGGCUCUCAAACAGAAAAUAUAUUUGAUCACAUUCAAAAAAGAAAUGCAAAUUAAAACUAUACUGCAUUGUUUUUCUUUUAUCAGAUUGUGAACAUUUGAAAAUUUGGACAGGUU
rnacentral:lncRNA from 1 species